GGUCAUGAGUCCCAGCGACAAGCCCCGGCUUGCUGGGCGGCAACCCUCCUCGCGGUGGGGUGCCCCGGGUGAAGACACGGCCCUUCCGGUAUCGGUGGGGCAAGCGCGAUCC
rfam:Janibacter sp. HTCC2649 scf_1099316001559 genomic scaffold, whole genome shotgun sequence.